UACGGGGGGGGGCAAGCGUUGUUCGGAAUUACUGGGCGUAAAGGGCGCGUAGGCGGCCGCCUAAGUCGGACGUGAAAUCCCUCGGCUCAACUGAGGAACUGCGUCCGAGACUGGGUGGCUUGAAUCCGGGAGAGGGAUGUGGAAUUCCAGGUGUAGCGGUGAAAUGCGUAGAUAUCUGGAGGAACACCGGUGGCGAAGGCGGCAUCCUGGACCGGUAUUGACGCUGAGGCGCGAAAGCCAGGGGAGCAAACGGG
rnacentral:rRNA from 1 species